AUGGCUGCCGGCGACGAGCCCUCCGUCACCCGCUGGUCCUUCCAGGACUUCGAGCGCUACUACGACGCGGGCCUCGGCAUCUGCCGCCAGCCCCAGGGCGACGGCGACGACGCGCCGCCCGGAUCGGGCUCCGCCGACACCGCCCACGCCAAUGGCGGCGCCGACCUGUCCGUCUUCGAGCAAUUCGAGCGGCUGGAUAGAAAUGUCGAGUUGCGCAAUGGUUCAAUGGAUGCCGGACCACCGCAGAAAUCCCUGCUUCCUUCUUUUGAAUCUGCAGAAACACGCAACUUAGCUGAGACAUUGUUGAGGGAUAUCAUUCGUGGGAGUCCAGAUGUCAAAUGGGAAAGCAUUAAAGGUUUGGAAACUGCGAAGCGACUUCUUAAGGAGGCAGUCGUCAUGCCUAUAAAGUAUCCCAAGUACUUCACAGGUCUGUUAUCACCCUGGAAAGGUAUAUUGCUAUUUGGUCCACCAGGAACAGGAAAGACAAUGCUGGCAAAAGCUGUGGCUACCGAGUGCAAAACAACUUUUUUCAACAUUUCAGCCUCAUCAAUUGUCAGCAAAUGGCGUGGUGACUCGGAGAAACUAGUAAAAGUCUUAUUUGAGCUUGCAAGGCAUCAUGCACCAUCUACCAUUUUCCUUGAUGAGAUUGAUGCUAUCAUUAGCCAACGUGGUGAAGCUCGUAGUGAACAUGAAGCCAGUCGGCGACUGAAGACUGAACUAUUAAUACAGAUGGAUGGGUUGACUAAGACAGAUGAGCUUGUUUUUGUUCUGGCGGCCACAAAUUUACCAUGGGAACUAGAUGCAGCAAUGUUACGCCGAUUGGAAAAACGUAUUCUUGUGCCCUUACCAGAGGCAGAAGCUAGGCAUGCUAUGUUUGAAGAGUUCCUUCCAUCGACUCCAGACACAAUGAAGAUUCCAUAUGAUGUUCUUGUGGAGAACACUGAAGGAUAUUCCGGCUCUGAUAUACGCCUUGUUUGUAAGGAGGCAGCAAUGCAACCACUUAGACGGUUAAUGGCAGUUCUAGAAGGCAGACAAGAAGAAAUGCCAGAGGAUGAGUUGCCUGAAGUUGGCCCAAUAGCGGCAGAAGAUAUCGAACUUGCCUUGAGGAAUACACGGCCGUCUGCUCAUCUCCAUGCACAUAGAUAUGAGAAAUUCAAUCAAGAUUAUGGCAGCCAUGUCAUUGGCUAA
rnacentral:rRNA from 1 species